rnacentral:lncRNA from 1 species
CAACAUUAUGAACAUUUAUUAUAACAUUAAUUUAUUUAACAAUUAAGUACAACGUCAUCACAGUUUAAGAGAGCUUACUGUAUAAAAAUACAAUGAAAAUAUGAAAACACUCAAAUGUGAUGUACACACAGUAAAAGACAAACCCUAUAUUAUGCCUAUAGCUGACUUCUUUGUUUCUAUCUAACUUUAUAUUGAAUAUCUUACAGUAUAUUCAUGGAAAUAUAGCGUGCUAAAGUAAACAGGCAGACGGGUCGGUGAGUUACGGGGUAAACAAUGUAAAGGAAAACAUACUACAUAAACGGAGUGGGAGAGGGGGAUUUAAAUGAGUGUACAUCGGUUUCGGUACUACAAAAUACGGUAAGAAUACUGUGCGUUAUAAAUACUCAUCCAAACUAGAAACUCUCCUCACACUCAUCCCCGAAUUUCACUGAAGGUUACCAAUAUUUGCACUCACAGUCACUUCGAAAAUUCUUAACACUCGGAGCCAUUCAAAUAUUACAGACACUUGAUGAGGCUAAAAAUAGUUUAGUAAAUAAUUAUUUUACUAGUUGUAUAUCAACAGCGUCAGCUUUGAAUACAAUGUAGAAUUUAAAAGCAGUAAUGACCGAUAUCAGUAACCAUAGUAAUUUAUAUCGCGUACUAAUCUGCCAUUCAUAAGUGUAUGGUUGAGGAUCGCCAUUUCGGCAUUAUUUGAUUUUAAGGAACUUUUUAUAUAUUGGCUCAUUAUUUUCUAUUCUUUACACAAGUUUAAACACGUACACUUAAUUAACACAUUAAAUAUGCAUGUUCAUCAAAUUCCGAAAAGAACUAUUACGUGAAAUGUUUAUGCUUGCAAAGAAGAGCCAAGUAUAAUCUUAAAGAACUGCCAAAUGAUUACCGAUAAAACAAUAAAGAAUGUAUCUGUCAUCUCUUGGCCAAUCUCUAACAUUAUAAGACUUAAUACAUUUCCUGCAUCAAUAAUUAUCUUCAUAUCUUUGUCUUUGGGUUUUUCGGAAUAAUUUUGUUCUUGGCAGUCAUGUCUCCAUACUUUUAUAACAAAAUGAUUAAUUAGUGAUUUCUAAAUACACCACUCCAGUGUUUAAUGUUACAAUACUUCAACUCAUUGAGGGAUACAUGCAUUACGUAUAUAAAUAAACAAAUAACUAAUUAACUAAAUAAUAACUCUCAUAUCUUAUGACUAAUUGCAAGACGGAUUUUUGUAUGAGUGCUUGGGCGUAUAAUAUAUGGUAUAUGUUAUAAUAGUUUAACUUAAAACUCUGCCGAAAAUAGUAUUGAUAUUCACUCUACAAUCUCUAAGGUAUGACAAAGAAUACUGACAAUGCUGCAGUUACAAAACGUCGACAAUAUGAAGAAUAUAGUGAGAUUAUUACUGAGCUAAUAAAAAUAAUUUAUAAACAUUAUAUUACCAUAUCAGAAACAGAUUUAAAAAUUUCAU